ACGAACGCUGGCGGCGUGCUUAACACAUGCAAGUCGAACGGAAAGGCCUGCUUUCCCUUGUGGAUUGCGGGUACUCGAGUGGCGAACGGGUGAGUAACACGUGAGUGAUCUGCCCCCAACUUGGGUAUAAGCCUGGGAAACUGGGUCUAAUUCCCGAUAGGACUGCAGGGUGGUGCCUGUGGUGGAAAACGAUUUUCUAGUGGUUGGGGAUGAGCUCGCGGCCUAUCAGCUUGUUGGUGGGGUAAUGGCCUACCAAGGCGGCGACGGGUAGCCGGCCUGAGAGGGUGGACGGCCACAUUGGGACUGAGAUACGGCCCAGACUCCUACGGGAGGCAGCAGUGGGGAAUAUUGCACAAUGGGCGGAAGCCUGAUGCAGCGACGCCGCGUGGGGGAUGACGGCCUUCGGGUUGUAAACUCCUUUCGACCGCGAGGAAGCCACCUGGUUGGAAGGGUGGCGACGGUAGUGGUAGAAGAAGCACCGGCUAACUACGUG
rnacentral:rRNA from 1 species